AGUUGUUUGGCUCCGGCGGGGAGUCCAGGUAGCGUUGCGGGCCCCGUGGGGGAAGGGUGCCCUCCCUCGCAGCCCCACCACCACGCCUGCUGGCACCCUGGGCCCGGACUCCCCAUGGACUCUGGGGCGCCCCUAGCCCGCCCUGUCCCCAGGGCCGGGCCCGAGCGGCGGCUGCGCCCGUGCAAGUCCCAUCAGGUCUGCUCACACUUCACACACUCACACACAUACCCCGCCCCUCCACUCUUUCACUCACACUUUCUGCUCACACCCCGCCCCCUACGCGCCCCAGACCCGGGCGGCGCCCCCCGCAACCUUAAAAAAAAAAAAAAGCGAGCUUAUACUUAAAAAAAUCUUUUGGCGCCAUAUUAAUGACGUACUUAAAAUUUGCCAUUUCUCCCUGCGUCAAAAAGACGUUUCUUUGCAAAUAACAGCCUGGAGGCGACACUCGCGGAGGGAACGAGGUUUGCACUGAGCACCCCGCCCCCCGGGGCUCCAGCGCUGGAAGACCCUCGCCCUAGGCCCUGCUUCUGAAUCGCUGGUUUUAAAAUGCGAAUCGAAUAAAUUGCGUGGCGUUUUGCAGCACCAGAAGUGAGCAGAAAGUGCUGGCAGGAGGGGAGUGGAGGGGCGAACGCGAGUCUUGGGGAGGGGGCGCGGCCCUCCUCCCCGCACCCACUCCAAAUGGAAAACUAACAUUCCGGGCGGGGGAACUUGAAAUUGUAGGCGACCUCAAGAAAAGAGGGGCGGUCCGUAGAGAGGGUCCCCAUUGGGCUCGUCGCCCCCUCCCCCCUCCCGGGUGCCUCCUGGCGCCUAGCGCUGCCCCGCAUUUCCGGGGGGUGGAGAAGGCAGUGAUGAGCGGGUGGGUGGGUGGUUGCACAUCCUGGCCCCAGCAGGAUUUUGCCCCGGGGCGACCCCUUCCUCCUUGCUCUUCCUUCCCAUUACCCCGAAAGGGUUAAAAACCGAGGGGUAACUUCCAAAGGCUGGCACAUGGCGAGGAAGCGGGGCGCCCCUCUCCCCACCCUUCGCCUCCUCGCCCCUCCUCCUCCGGCUCCACUUCCCGACUUGACCUUGUGGUGCACAAACAGUACGCUCGGAUCCUCGCAGUUUCUGGAAGAAGAGCCUGCGCUCGCCAGGCGGGCGGGCUGUCGGGCUGCUAGCCGGCGGUGGCGGGGCCUUGGGUCUGUUCCCGGAGCCGCGGGCCACACCCACCCAACCCGCUGCGCCCGCCGAGCUCACCUUCUCUCGAGGAAGGAGAAGGACUGGCCUCCUGGUUGGGGAGGAAUCGGGGGUCAAGCUCCAACCUCCUCGGAAUGCCUCUAGCUGGGGAGGGGGUGGGUCUGGCCUCGGGAGGAGGUUGUGGGGAGCCUGGCCCAACAUCCCCAAAGCAUCGUGGCCAACUUUUUCUUCCCCCUCAUGGUCGGCUGCCCCUCAGAUUAUCCAAUAAUUUUUCAGCUCACCUUUGGCUUUGAAGGCACGUGGGUGAGUUGUGAAUGGACACCGGAGUCGCCUUCCCUCUCCAAGACUGAAGAUUGUUUAUUCUUCCUUUCCCCUCCACCCCCUUCCAUGGGAAGAUAAAUAUUCAAUUUACAUAAGAUGACAUUUAUGUGACAAUUAAGAAGAUUCCCCGAUGGAAUGUUGUGAACACAUUUGCUUAUAGGAGAAAUAAAUCUAAUAAUAAACAAACUCAUAAUAACAGCACAAAUCCUCCGACAGGGCGGAUUGUCUACCCAACAAAGAGGGAGAUGAUGAAUGCUGAAAUAAGCAGUUUUUGCAACAAGAAAGAAAUAUGAGCUCAAAGGGAGUCACUGCAACAUUUCUUCUUCCUUGGCCUUCAUUCACAAAGUCUGAGGAGAAUUGUCUGGCAAGAGGAUGGUCUGGGUAUUACCUUCCAGUUAGACCUGGCUGUGGCUCUCAGUGGUCAAUUGGUGGUAUUUUUCUCUAGCCAAGCUCAGAGUCUGGAAACAGGUGCUGCAGACUUGGAGUGUGUAACAAAAUAGUUAAAUACUUAGGUUCUAAUCCUGGCUUUGCAUUUCAGAAGCUGUGUGAUGUGGGCAAGUGAAUUCAUCUCCCUGGAUCGCUUUUUCCUUUUGGGUAGAAUGGGGUGGUUGGAGGGUUCUUGAGGCCAUGUGUGCACAUACACAUAUAUGUAUGUACGUACAUAUACAGGUGGUAUGUGUAAAGCAGCAACUGGCACAGGGUGCAUAGUGCUCAUUAGCACCUUGCCUGGUACCUAAGUGGGUUUUUUUUAUUUUGGAAGGGUGAAAUUGUUCUCUGAAGCUUGAUGGUCAAGGUCCAGAUGUCCAUUCCGGGGUGGGAGUGAGGGUACCAGUUUACAGUGGCACAGUCUAAAGAGAUGACCUCCAGAGAUGGAUGAGGGAAGUGUGACCAUUUAAAGUGCACCUGCAGUGUACUGGUCACUUUGUGAGCCAUUCUAUCUCAUCCUCCCCCAAACCCCUUCCUCCCUUUUCAGAAAGGUUUAGUAACUUACCACAGCCACACAGCUAGUAAGUGCUGGCAGAAUUGGCUCCUAGGUCUAGCUGACCUUGAGACCUAUGUAGUUUCUAUUUUACCACACUGCCAGAAAUAAAAAGUAUUACUAUUAUUGGUUUGAUUGGGGAUGGGGGGAUCUGAUUGCUGUCUUGGCAAGAAAGAAUUUUAUGAGCAGCACUUUGCUUCUGAGGUGGUUCCCUGACUUGGGGUGAGACCCAGGCCUUCUAAUGAGCCCUUGAAAAUACCUCUUGCUUAGGACUGGAAGCCCUAUCAAAAUCCUUGGAUUCCCACAGUUCUCUGCUGCUGUUUAAGGUUAACCUUGGAAGCUUUAACAGAAUGAUAACGAUAAAGCUAAUUGUAACUCCUUAAUCUUUAUUAAAAGUCUCACAAAUCAUUCAUUAACUUUUUUUUUUUUCCUUUUUCCACAAUCUCUGCUUUGGACGUAAUCAUUCAUUAACUUUUUACAGGAAAGAAAUGAGAAGAAAGAGAGUUCUUGGAGAUGUAAUCCUUCAUUGUUUUUCAACAAGCCUCCCGUAUGCCAGAGACCAUUCUUGGUGUUGGGGACACAGCACACACACACACACACACACAAAUAAGUAAAUAAAUAAAAUAAAUGAGGAGCAGGGCAGGGAGAGCAUCAGGAAAAAUAGCUAAUGCAUGCUGGGCUUAAUACCUACGUGAUGGGAUGAUCUGUGCAACAAACCGCCAUGGCACAUGUUUACCUGUGUAACAAAACUGCACAUCCUGCACAUGUAUCCCAGAACUUAAAAAAAAAAAAAAGGUAAAAAUGUUAGCUGCUAGAGUGAGCAGGUUAUUAAAAUUGGACAUGAUUUUAUUCUAAACUCUAAAAUAUAAAAAUAACUAUAUGUUUGAAAGUGAUUAAGUGCUGUGGAGAAACUCUUAAGAAGGAAAGGGCGAUACACAGUGUGGGAGUGCAAUUUUAAAUAAAAUAGGGAAGUUCUCACCGAGAAGACAGUCUUUGAGAAGAGCAGGUAAAGGAGUGAACUGUAUGUGGGAGUAUGUGUGUAUGUACAUGGGGGAAGAGAAGCCAGCCGUUCUUAACCUGGAGACCAUAGACUCUCCUCUCCAUGGGUCUGUGGAUAGAAUUCAGAGGAUCUUGACCUUAGGUGAGAAAAAAAUUACAACUUUAUUUUCACUAAUUAAAAUGUAGCGUGUCCUUCAAUUAUGAAUACAGAUAACAAAUCAGUGAUAUUAGCAGCACCUGUGACAUUACUGCUGGUAGAAAUCACAGAUAUUUUCAUAUCACUUUAGAGUUGUUGCAAAUAUCUUAAAAUAUCGUUACACUUUAUGAGUAAUUUAUUGAAAAAGUAUCAUUUUACUCAUCACUACUUCAAAAUCAUGC
rnacentral:lncRNA from 1 species